rnacentral:rRNA from 1 species
CGUAGGGGCGAAGCGUUGUCCGGAAUUAUUGGGCGUAAAGGGCGCGUAGGCGGUUUCUUAAGUCUGAUGUGAAAGCCCACAGCUUAACUGUGGAGGGUCAUUGGAAACUGGGGAACUUGAGUGCAGAAGAGGAGAGUGGAAUUCCACGUGUAGCGGUGAAAUGCGUAGAUAUGUGAAGGAACACCAGUGGCGAAGGCGACUCUCUGGUCUGUAACUGACGCUGAGGCGCGAAAGCGUGGGGAGCGAACAGGAUU